GAUCUAAUCUGAUUCUAACAAGGUCGCCAUUUUAUACUCCCAUGAGGAAAAAUGAGCAUGAAGAAGGGAGAUGAUUUAUCAAGAUCACAGAACUAGUCUCAUUGAUGGAUUUCACACUCAGUCCUUAGAAUAUAAAUCCUGCAUUCCAAAGAAGCCUGAAGAGGAGAGAGCCAGUCUUGGAACUACCUGGAAGAAGAGAAAUUCAAGAUGAGGGAAGAGCAAUUGCAAUAGCCCCAAAGCAAGAGCGUGCUUGGCAAAAGCUCUGUCCUCUGUCUGUCUGCUCAUGAAGAGAACACAGCACCAUCCAUUUUAGUCUAAUGAUCAUCAUCUGGGCCACAUAUACAGUAAGGAGCUGCCAAGAUGGUGCUGGUCAAACGGAAAGCCCAUUUGCGUAACAAGGUUAAGGCAGGGUAACCAGCCUUCCCUGCCCACUAUAUAAAUGUCACACCUGAUCAAACCAAUCUGUGGACCCUACAGACAUCUGACACCGCCUCUCAAGCCUGCCUAUAAAUCCAGCAAACUCUGCCAUGGUUUGGCCUUUUCCCUUCGGAAGCACCUCCCUCUCACUAGAGAGAGAACUGUUCUUUCUCUUUCUUCCACCUAUUAAACCUUAGCU